rnacentral:rRNA from 1 species
UACGUAGGUGGCGAGCGUUGUCCGGAUUUACUGGGCGUAAAGGGCGUGCAGGCGGUUUGUUAAGUGCAGGGUGAAAGCUCCCGGCUCAACUGGGAGAGGUCCUUGCAUACUGGCGAACUCGAGGGAGGCAGAGGAAAGUGGAAUUCCCGGUGUAGUGGUGAUAUGCGUAGAUAUCGGGAGGAACACCUGUGGCGAAGGCGGCCCCCUGGUCGGAUACUGACGCUGAGACGCGAAAGCGUGGGGAGCAAACAGG